rnacentral:rRNA from 1 species
UACGUAGGGUGCGAGCGUUAAUCGGAAUUACUGGGCGUAAAGCGUGCGCAGGCGGUUCGUUAAGUCAGAUGUGAAAGCCCCGGGCUCAACCUGGGAACUGCAUUUGAUACUGGCGAUCUUGAGUCCGGGAGAGGUGAGUGGAACUGCGAGUGUAGAGGUGAAAUUCGUAGAUAUUCGCAAGAACACCAGUGGCGAAGGCGGCUCACUGGCCCGGUACUGACGCUGAGGUGCGAAAGCGUGGGGAGCAAACAGG